UGGGGAAUCUUCCGCAAUGGACGAAAGUCUGACGGAGCAACGCCGCGUGAGUGAUGACGGCCUUCGGAUUGUAAAGCUCUGUUAAUCGGGACGAAUGGUUUGUGUGCAAAUAGUGCAUAGACAUGACGGUACCGGAAUAGAAAGCCACGGCUAACUACGUGCCAGCAGCCGCGGUAAAACGUAGGUGGCAAGCGUUGUCCGGAAUUAUUGGGCGUAAAGCGCGCGCAGGCGGACUGGCCAGACAGUCUUAAAAGUUCGGGGCUUAACCCCAUACUGGGAUUGAAAAUACUAGUCUAGAGUAACGGAGAGGAGAGUGGAAUUCCAAGUGUAGCAGUGAAAUGCGUAGAUAUUAGGAAGAACACCAGUGGCGAAGGCGACGUUCUGGACGAACACUGACGCUGAGGCACGAAAGCGAGGGGAGCAAACGGG
rnacentral:rRNA from 1 species